UCAAAGCCAUAGCAGGCAAGCAGGCGCAUGCAAACAGACAGGCAACCACACCUGGAGGGAGCCAAGGCAAGGCUCGAGGACUCUUUCCAAGAAGCUUGGGAACCUCUCCCAUACUGAGACUGGUCGGGAUCGGGAGCAUUUGUGCACAGAUGGGAGAGCCUGUGUAUGCAGCAGGAGCCGCAGACUCUAGAAGGGACAUGGCUGGGAACCAAGGAAGGUGCUACAUGGCCUCAGUAUCAAGCCUGUAAACAUGGCAAUGGCCAAGUUUACUGAACAUCUGCUUGCAAGUGCACACAGCCCAUCUGGCACCGUCGGGGGGAGCGUGAAGGCAGCAGGGUUCUGAACCUGCCAACAAGCGUGAUCCUGGCCCUCCAGGUAAGGCUGGAUCCUCUAUGCAGUGGUGGUGGCAGUGGCUUUGUGGUAUGUGAAGAGGUUGGAUCUGUCAGAGUACUGGCGAGGGGGGAGAGAGAGAGAGAGAGAGAGAGCUUCAUUUGGGCACACAUCAAUAUCCCUCAGCCAUUGUGGAACAAGUGGACCAUGCCACCAGAUAGAACAGCUGAUAAGGUUGAACAGGUUCAAACCCCGGGCGGGGG
rnacentral:lncRNA from 1 species